rnacentral:rRNA from 1 species
GACGAACGCUGGCGGCGUGCUUAACACAUGCAAGUCGAACGGAAAGGCCCUGCUUUUGUGGGGUGCUCGAGUGGCGAACGGGUGAGUAACACGUGAGUAACCUGCCCUUGACUUUGGGAUAACUUCAGGAAACUGGGGCUAAUACCGGAUAGGAGCUCCUGCUGCAUGGUGGGGGUUGGAAAGUUUCGGCGGUUGGGGAUGGACUCGCGGCUGAUCAGCUUGUUGGUGGGGUAGUGGCUUACCAAGGCUUUGACGGGUAGCCGGCCUGGGAGGGUGACAGGCCCCAUUGGGACUGAGCUACGGCCCAGACUCCUACGGGAGGCAGCAGUGGGGAAUAUUGCACAAUGGGCGGAAGCCUGAUGCAGCAACGCCGCGUGCGGGAUGACGGCCUUCGGGUUGUAAACCGCUUUCGCCUGUGACGAAGCGUGAGUGACGGUAAUGGGUAAAGAAGCACCGGCUAACUACGUG